rnacentral:rRNA from 1 species
UACGUAGGGGGGCAAGCGUUGUCCGGAGUUACUGGGCGUAAAGCGCACGCAGGCGGCUUUUUAAGUUUGGAGUGACAGUUGGUGGCUUAACUGCCAAAAGUGCUUUCGAAAAACUGAAAAGACUUGAGGGCUUCAGAGGGGACACGGAAAUUCCCCGGUGUAGCGGUGAAAAUGCGUAGAUAUCAGGAGGAACACCGGUGGCGAAGGCGGG